CAUAUAGGACACAGAAUUUAUAAUAUUAUUUUAUGAUGUUCUCCCAGAAUUAAAUACAUCAAAGUACAGGAAAUCUGUCCACAACACUAAAGACCAAGAAUAUUCAGCCAAGGGCCUGGAUCCCACAGCAAUGUCCUACAUGAGUCCAGAUGAAGACCUAGAGCCCAUGACAGUGCCUCCCACGAGUCCAGGUGGAGGUCUAGAGCCUACAAGGACUCACACCAGUCUCUUUUAUGGAUCUGUGUCGGGAAGGCCCAAAGGUCAGUGGUGGAAGCUAGAAAGUCUAUGCCAGCAGGGUGAAGGCGCUGUGCUGGUAGGUUGAGGGUUCUAUGCUGGAGCUGAGAAGUCAUGCUCAAAAUAAGGACCAGGGCUGCCCGGAAAAGCACUACAGCCAUCCUCAGUGACAUAGAGCUCCCGAGCUCCUCCCAUGAUAACAGUCGAGUGCAUUCCAGGAAGCCAGUGUGACGAGUUUCUUCCUGGACUUUAAACAGCACACAUCUUCCCCUUUGGAGUCAGGAAGCAAUGCUCGAUGUAAGGACCAGAGAGCUCCCCCAAAGUGAACCACAGCCACCUCCAUCAACAAGGUCCUGGGCUCCUCUGAUGACAACAGUCGAACUCAUAUUGCGGAAGCUAGUCAUGACAAGCUCCUCCAGGAGAACCAACGGCUCAAACAGCGACACUUAGAGGAACCCACAAUGCCUCGCUCUUCUUCACGUCUCUAUUUAUGCUGACAACUUCCCUCAGAGGCUGCAAAACUCCAAGUGAUCAUGCAUAUGGAACCAAAGACAAAUGUGCUCCACCAAGUGGGCCAAGGAAAAGACCAGAGGCCCCAGGCUCAUUGCAAGGCUCCUCGUGAGGCCAAGAGGUUGUGCUUGCCUCAGAAGGGGCCUUUCUCUUCUCCAUCUCCAUCUCCGUCUCCGUUUCCGUAUCCCUCUCACUCCCACCUUUCCUCUGCCUUUCCCAGCUCUUUCUGUUCUCACCAAGCUCCCCAUCUGCUGAUCUCUCUUCCUGUCCCAAAUGCAGACAGUCUCGCCACAAAUAAGUUUUCUGCCCCGAGAGGCCUCUGGCGGUCUUCCCAGUGUUACAGUGAUACAGGCGCCCACGUUUAUAGCAGCACAGCUCGCACUAGCGAGGUCCUGGGAGCAGCCUAUAUAUGUCCAGCAGCAGAUGGGUGGGUUAAAAAAAUGUGGCGUUUUACACAUUGGAGCCCCACUCUGUCAUAAAGGACAAAUCUAAGACAUUUGUAGGAAAAUGGACGCUCCUCGAGUCCAUAGUGAAAUAAAUCAGACACAACAGGUGAAAUUUUGCAUGCUUUCUUCAACAUGAGGAACCCAAAGUAUAAAUGAAGAGCAAAAUGAAAGACAGAUAAUAGAAAGCAGGGAGAUAGACUUUGGGGGGAAGUGAAGAGCAAGUGAAAAUAAUAAGGCCCAAUAUGUAUACGGCCCAGCUCUUGUUAUGCACUGUAUUGUGAACACAUACUGCAAAAGAGACCAAAAAGGAAGAACCAGACAAACCAAAAUCCAGCAAGAGACAGCAGCUGACUUCUCAAGGGUAUAGGUUUUUGGGGUGGGGGGGGGGAUUCUUCUGAAAUGAUUGUGGUGACGAUUGCAUAGUUCAGUGGAUUCUAUGGUCUGUGAGUUAUAGCUCCAUAAAGAUAUUUUAAAGAUUAAAAAAUGAAAACUCUUGCAACAACAACAACAAAAAGAUCCAGCGACAUCACUUGGGCACACAGCCUCAGGACGUGAGAUCGUGUGUGAGGGAGAAGGGGGCUCUCGAGCAGCAGCCAACAAAUGAAGCCGCACCAGUGUCCCUUGGAGGAGGAGUGACAAAGAGGUGAGAGGGAGAAGGAAAUCCUGGCUCAUUCGUGCUACACAGUUCCAGACAGCCUUCAACUCCCUCCAUAGUCCAGCCUGGCCUUAAACUCGAAGCAAGAUCCUCCUGCUUCAGCCUCUCGACUACUGGGAUUACAGGUGUGCACCAGCAUGCCUAACGAAUUUGGAACAACUGGAUGAACGUGGUGGACAUCCUGUUGUGUGAAAUAAGCCCAGCACAGAAAGAGGAGUCCUGCAGGGUCUCACUGACACCUGGAGGGUAAGAAAUGGAUCUCUUAGCAGCAGAGCAAAAUGGUGGUUAACAAGGCAAUGUAGUCUUCAAUUUUUUUUUGUUUUGUUACAGCAACAGAAAGGUGAUUGUAAUAAGGUCCUGAGUUCGACUGUACAAAAACAAACCAAAAAAGAGGUGAUUAAAUUAUAAAUUGCAUUUAUUUUUAUUUUUUCUUAAUUCCUUUCUUAAUAGCCUAGAAUUCAGAAUUAAGAAAUCAAUUAUAGGAAAUUUAUAAUCUGGAACAGGACCGUCUGAAAAAUUUUCAGUUUUGGGUCACAAAGACCCUAUCUGUCUUUGUAUAAAGGAGAAAAAAAAUUUUUUUUUUGGUCUUUUUCCUUUUUAUGGGUACCAGGGAUCGAACUCACGACUGCCUGCUUGCAAGGCAGGCGCUUAUGCUGCUGAACUAAAUCCCCAGCCCCAGAAAAAUGUUUUUAAGUGAAAAAGAAAAAUAGAAAACUUUUUAAUAUACAAUUUUUGGUUUUGGUCUUUUGAGACAGGCUGCUAUGUACCCAAGGCUGGUCUGGAACUUGAGAUCCUCGUGCCUCAGCUUCCACAGUGCCGGAAUUAUAAGUGUGUGACACUAGGCUAAAAAUAGGAAAAUUUUAAAAAGUAGAUUUUAAGUAUUCUCACCACACAAAUGUUAAGUGUGUAAGGUCACACAAAUGUUAGUGACUCAAUUUGGCCAUUACAGGGUGUACACAUUUUAAAAUAUUGUAUGGCAUACAUACUUAUGAUUUUUUCAAUUACAAAAUAAAUAGUUUUACUAAAAUAAAUUAGUCUCGCUCAAAAAAGAAGGAAAUAUUGUGUUUGCCGUCAGAAUAUAUCAGACUAUUUUCUGAAGAAACCAAAUAUUUAAAGGAAAUUCAAACCACAAAUAUUUAAAGGAAAAGAAAGGUAAAAUUGCCAAGGGGAUUCAUUUCACAUGGAGUUCUUGAUGGUAGGGUGGGGGAAGCAACUUUGUCAGACGGCUGCUGUUACGGCUGUCUGCUUGUUACCUCAAAGCCUCACGUGGUCCAGUCCUAGGUGGCCUUUUCAGAGGUGGCCGGAUAUGGAGUGUGUGACUGAUUCACGGUGCAAUGCUAGGAUCGAGGGCACAAGGACUGGGGUGCGAGUGCUCCCCGAAGUAGCCUGGAUAAGAUACAAGGGACAGAAAGUGCUGUGGUCGCCCCUUGUUGUUUUGCAACUUCCUGCCCGUAGUGAGCUGUUCCCCUUCUGCACUGCCAGCCUGCCGUGGAGCCAGCUAAUUAUGUACCGAAACCUCCGCAAAUUGAGCUAAAUAAACCUCUCCUCCUUUAA